rnacentral:ncRNA from 1 species
GUUCUAGCGCCUGGCGCCGGACUCCCAGCCAUCCCGACCUGACACCACUUCCCCGGUGUCAGGUCGGGAUGGAUGGGGAUCGGACGCCAGGGGCCGGACCGGAG